rnacentral:rRNA from 1 species
UACGGGGGGGGCAAGCGUUGUUCGGAAUUACUGGGCGUAAAGGGCUCGUAGGCGGCCAACUAAGUCAGACGUGAAAUCCCCAGGCUCAACCUGGGAACUGCGUCUGAUACUGGAUGGCUUGAAUUCGGGAGAGGGAUGCAGAAUUCCAGGUGUAGCGGUGAAAUGCGUAGAUAUCUGGAGGAACACCGGUGGCGAAGGCGGCAUCCUGGACCAUUACUGACACUGAAAAGCGAAAGCCAGGGGAGCAAACGGG